rnacentral:rRNA from 1 species
UGCUAAGACAGCUAGGAUGUUGGCUUGGAAGCAGCCAUUCAUUUAAAGAGUGCGUAACAGCUCACUAGUCGAGGAGUUUUGCAUGGAUAAUAAUCGGGCAUAAGCCGGUUACCGAAGCUAUGGAUAUCGCAAGAUAUGGUAGGGGAGCAUUCCAUCCGCCGCAGAAGGCCGUCCUCGAGGACGACUGGAGGAAAUGGAAAAGCAAAUGUAGGUAUAAGUAACGAUAAAGGAAGCGAGAAACUUCCUCGCCGAAAGACUAAGGAUUCCUGAUCAACGCUAAUCGGAUCAGGUUCAGUCGGGACCUAAGGAAUAGCCAAACGGCGCAUCCGAUGGAAGAAACGGUCAACAUUCCGUUACUGGUUAUGAGAGCGAUGUGGAGACGAAGCAGUGACACACCCGCCUGCAGACGGAAUAGCAGGUUAAAGAGUGUAGAUAAUGGAAAGGCAGGCAAAUCCGCCUUUUCAGUCGACCUUGAUAGUACUGAGCGCCCCCGGGCAAUCAGAUAGCGGUGGUAAACAGACUUCCAAGAAAAUCCGCUAAGCAUAUCCCAUAACCACCCGUACCCUAAACGGACACACGUAGUCGGGUAGAAUAUACUAAGGCGCUCGAGAGACUCACGGUUAAGGAACUAGGCAAAUUGACCCUGUAACUUCGGGACAAAGGGUCCCUACCCAGUGAUGGGAGGGCGCAGAGAAUAGGUCCAGGCAACUGUUUAACAAAAACACAGGGCUGUGCAAAAUUGAAAGAUGAAGUAUACAGCCUGACACCUGCCCGGUGCUGGAAGGUUAAGAGGAGACGUCAUCGCAAGAGAAGCGUUGAAUUGAAGCCCCAGUAAACGGCGGCCGUAACUAUAACGGUCCUAAGGUAGCGAAAUUCCUUGUCGGGUAAGUUCCGACCUGCACGAAUGGUGUAAUGAUCUGGACACUGUCUCAACCGUGAACUCGGUGAAAUUGUAGUAUCGGUGAAGAUGCCGAUUUCCCGCAACGGGACGGAAAGACCCCGUGAACCUUUACUGCAGCUUAACAUUGCAUUUGGGUAAUUAAUGUGUAGGAUAGUCCGGAGGCUAUGAAGUAGGUACGCCAGUAUCUGUGGAGCCAUCCUUGAAAUACGGACCUUUGAUUAUUUGAAUUCUAACCCGCAGAAGCGGGGACACUGUUUGGUGGGUAGUUUGACUGGGGUGGUCGCCUCCAAAAAAGUAACGGAGGCUUCUAAAGGUACCCUCAGGCCGAUUGGUAACCGGCCGAAGAGUGUAAUGGCACAAGGGUGCUUGACUGAGAGACCGACAAGUCGAUCAGGUAGGAAACUAGAGCAUAGUGAUCCGGUGGUUCCGCAUGGAAGGGCCAUCGCUCAAAGGAUAAAAGGUACUCCGGGGAUAACAGGCUGAUCGCUCCCAAGAGCUCAUAUCGACGGAGCGGUUUGGCACCUCGAUGUCGGCUCGUCACAUCCUGGGGCUGGAGAAGGUCCCAAGGGUUGGGCUGUUCGCCCAUUAAAGUGGCACGCGAGCUGGGUUCAGAACGUCGUGAGACAGUUCGGUCCCUAUCUGUUGUGGGCGCAGGAAAUUUGAGGAGAACUGACACUAGUACGAGAGGACCGUGUUGGACAGACCGCUGGUUUAUCAGUUGUUCCGCCAGGGGCAUAGCUGAGUAUCUAAGUCUGGAAAGGAUAAGUGCUGAAAGCAUCUAAGUACGAAGCCAACUUCAAGAUGAGAUUUCCCUGAAGGGUCGU